rnacentral:rRNA from 1 species
UCUGGGACAAGCCCUGGAAACGGGGUCUAAUACCGGAUAAUACUGUGCCCCUCAUGGGGGACGGUUGAAAGCUCCGGCGGUGCAGGAUGAGCCCGCGGCCUAUCAGCUUGUUGGUGGGGUAAUGGCCUACCAAGGCGACGACGGGUAGCCGGCCUGAGAGGGCGACCGGCCACACUGGGACUGAGACACGGCCCAGACUCCUACGGGAGGCAGCAGUGGGGAAUAUUGCACAAUGGGCGAAAGCCUGAUGCAGCGACGCCGCGUGAGGGAUGACGGCCUUCGGGUUGUAAACCUCUUUCAGCAGGGAAGAAGCGAAAGUGACGGUACCUGCAGAAGAAGCGCCGGCUAACUACGUGCCAGCAGCCGCGGUAAUACGUAGGGCGCAAGCGUUGUCCGGAAUUAUUGGGCGUAAAGAGCUCGUAGGCGGUUUGUCACGUCGGGUGUGAAAGCCCGGGGCUUAACCCCGGGUCUGCAUUCGAUACGGGCAGACUAGAGUGUGGUAGGGGAGAUCGGAAUUCCUGGUGUAGCGGUGAAAUGCGCAGAUAUCAGGAGGAACACCGGUGGCGAAGGCGGAUCUCUGGGCCAUUACUGACGCUGAGGAGCGAAAGCGUGGGGAGCGAACAGGAUUAGAUACCCUGGUAGUCCACGCCGUAAACGUUGGGAACUAGGUGUUGGCGACAUUCCACGUCGUCGGUGCCGCAGCUAACGCAUUAAGUUCCCCGCCUGG